rnacentral:rRNA from 1 species
UACGUAGGGGGCGAGCGUUGUCCGGAUUCAUUGGGCGUAAAGAGCUCGUAGGCGGCUUGGCAAGUCGGAUGUGAAAACUCCAGGCUCAACCUGGAGCCGCCAUUCGAUACUGCUAUGGCUAGAGUCCGGUAGGGGAGUGUGGAAUUCCCGGUGUAGCGGUGAAAAUGCGCAGAUAUCGGGAGGAACACCGAUGGCGAAGGCAGCACUCUGGGCCGGUACUGACGCUGAGGAGCGAAAAGCGUGGGGAGCGAACAGG